AAUAAGAUAAUUCAAAACAUCACAAAUUAUGCCUCUUUCGAUCACAUAAACAAGUGAAUAUAUAUGCAACAAUAAAAAUACCCAAAACGCUUCAAUACAUAAAACUAGAGUUAAUCUCCACAAACAAUUAUGAAAAUAUCAAAUCCAUCAAUCCCUAAGGAAGAAUUACUCCAUAUAUAUGGAGAAUUUCAUCACAACUAAGUUUAAGUCAAAGGAAAACAUAAAACAUCCAAACCCUUGUCUUGAGUGAGGAUAAAUGGUGAAAUUCUUGUACUUUUGCUUCUCCUCUCCUCCUUAGCUUCCUUAGGUCUAUAUUAUGUCAAAAGUCCUCAAAAUACCAUUUUUCUAUAUAUAUAUAUAUAUACCAAGUUGGGUUGGGCCCAAACAACUACACCUUCUCCUACGCGAAAAAGGACACUUUUUCGGAGUUGGACGUGCGCAGCCGUGCACUUGGAUGUGUGCCCGCGCACUUGGCUGCGCACUUUUCACACUGUUCUGCCCCAUAAGCACGGUCAGUGCACGGUCGCGCACUUUCCACACACUUUUCACCCUGUUUCAUUGGGAAAUUGAAAGAAUGUAAAACAUGAAAGUUGUAGCCCUUUGAAUUAACUUUCCAACAGUAUAUUGUGGAACCCAAACGGAGUUUUGAGAAAAACGUUAUAUGCAUUUUACUAGACUCUGCACAAUAUGCCUGCUCGAUUCUUCGUUCGUUCUUAACUAUCAUCCGUUGAUCCCCGAACACGAUCCCGACUUAAUUUCUUGGGCUUUUACUCAGACGUCAAAGCUCCAAAUCACUUGAAUUUAUUUCAUAACAUCUACAUAGCUCGAAAUCACUCCUACAAGAUAAAACACACAAUUAAUAUAAAAUACUAGCGAUUAAAGCUCAAACUCAACUAAAGUGCAGUAAAUUGGAAUGUAAUAAUCGACUAAAACAUGAGAUUGUAGCCUACCAUCAGAGGCUUGCCUUCUUCUCAUCUCUUUAAGCGCUAGAAGAAGUAUAAUCAUAUAUAUACUCAACAAAUAAGCUUUCCUCCUCCAAUAUGGGACAAUGUAAAUGAGGAAAAAUCAAAAUUUUAUUUUUCUAUCCAUUUCUCAUUCACCUCUAUUUUGAACAAAAAAACCCAACAUAAAUAGCCAUUAAACUUAUUCUUUUGUCUGAAUACAUACACAACCCCUCCAACUUGUCCGAUUUCUUUUCGUUUAGACACUUAAAUUAAUCAUUGUUCCUAUUGAGCAUUUGAAAAUUCAAGCGUAUCUAUCAUUGAACUGCUCGGGCUCAAUACUAUCAUUGUGGUAAUCGAAAUGGCUCAUUAGUAUCCUCCAUUUGCAAACUAACUCAUCAAACUAACUCAUCAGUCCCCUUGCCGUUAAUCAAGUGGCCUAUUACAAUCCUUUAGCACUAACAGGUCUUUUAAAGGCCAAUUUUAUUUUCCUGAAAAUUUUACAGUUUGACAUGUGUCACAUUAAACUACCCUCUUUAAUAUUUUUUUAUCAGCCCCCCACCCACUUAUUUACCCACCCUCCCCAUCCCUUUUAACAGUUCCACCAACACAUAUUACAUAUUGUUGCAACCAACAACAAAAACCCCAAAACAGAUUAACUAAUUACUAUUCGUUUUUAACUUCAAAAUUUACUUCAACAACAAUGUAACAAUGAGUCCAACCAAGCAACCACAUAAGACACAUAAUUCAUUGUUGCGUUACUGUUUUCCUCAAGAUUGCUAUAGUUCUAGCAUCAGUAGCAACAACAACUUCAAAAUCAUCCAAUUUCUUUUUCAAAAUAUUCCUCUCAAAUACUUUUUGACUCAAUUUGGUUAUAGUUUGAGCCUCAACAGCAGCAGCAACAUCAUAGUCAUCCAUUUUCUUCUUCAAAUGAUUUCUUUCAACUACAACAACAUCCAAUUUAUUUUUAAGACUGCUAAUCAAAUUUACAACUCUCGAAGGUAAUUCAUCAUCCUCGCAUUUAAAAUAACCACAUGUUGUCUUAUGUCAAAAACAAAAAUACAAAAAAUUAACAUAAACAGUCCAUGACUAGAUAAACAAAUUGCCAAAAAAUAAUCAAAGAAACUAACUUACAUCAGAUUUUGAGCACUUAAAAAAUCCCUACCGGCCAGGAGUAUAAGCCGUAAAAUGGAAGGCAACAAAACUGCAGUAACACCUCCUUUUCGACCUAACAAAAGCACUAGAUCAAUCGGACAUAUUUAAUCUCACUUGGAAUUGAAGAAGCGAAAUUUUAAAACAAACCUAUAGAAGAAGAUUGGUUACCGAAUUUAGAACCCUAGAAGAGAAAAUUUGGUGAAAUCGAUUGUUUUGAUUAGGUAAAAAAUGGUUGUUAAAAGGGUUGGGGAGGGUGGGUAAAUAAGUAAGUGGGUGGGGGCCGGUAAAAAAACUUUUAAAAGGGGUGGUUUAAUGUGACACGUGUUAAGCAGGGAAAUUUUCGGGAAAAAAAUAUAGCUUUUAAAAGACCCGUUAGUGCUAAA
rnacentral:lncRNA from 1 species